rnacentral:rRNA from 1 species
UAAUACGGAGGGUGCGAGCGUUGUCCGGAAUCACUGGGCGUAAAGGGCGCGUAGGCGGCGCGGUCAGCGUGCGGUGAAAGCUCGGGGCUCAACCCCGAGUCGGCCGUGCGAACUGCCGCGCUCGAGCACUGUAGAGGCAGGUGGAAUUCCGGGUGUAGCGGUGGAAUGCGUAGAGAUCCGGAAGAACACCGGUGGCGAAGGCGGCCUGCUGGGCAGUAGCUGACGCUGAUGCGCGACAGCGUGGGGAGCAAACAGGAUUAGAUACCCUGGUAGUCCACGCCGUAAACGAUGGGCACUAGGUGCUUGGGGGAGCGACCCCCUGAGUGCCGGCGCUAACGCAUUAAGUGCCCCGCCUGGGGAGUACGGCCGCAAGGCUG